UGCAGUCGUUCGGCAGCACGGGCUUCGGCCUGGUGGCGAGUGGCGAACGGGUGAGUAAUACAUCGGAACGUGCCCUGUAGUGGGGGAUAACUAGUCGAAAGAUUAGCUAAUACCGCAUACGACCUGAGGGUGAAAGCGGGGGACCGUAAGGCCUCGCGCUACAGGAGCGGCCGAUGUCUGAUUAGCUAGUUGGUGGGGUAAAAGCCUACCAAGGCGACGAUCAGUAGCUGGUCUGAGAGGACGAUCAGCCACACUGGGACUGANACACGGCCCAGACUCCUACGGGAGGCAGCAGUGGGGAAUUUUGGACAAUGGGGGCAACCCUGAUCCAGCAAUGCCGCGUGUGUGAAGAAGGCCUUCGGGUUGUAAAGCACUUUUGUCCGGAAAGAAAUGGCUCUGGUUAAUACCCGGGGUCGAUGACGGUACCGGAAGAAUAAGCACCGGCUAACUACGUGCCAGCAGCCGCGGUAAUACGUAGGGUGCGAGCGUUAAUCGGAAUUACUGGGCGUAAAGCGUGCGCAGGCGGUUUUGUAAGACAGGCGUGAAAUCCCCGAGCUCAACUUGGGAAUGGCGCUUGUGACUGCAAGGCUAGAGUAUGUCAGAGGGGGGUAGAAUUCCACGUGUAGCAGUGAAAUGCGUAGAGAUGUGGAGGAAUACCGAUGGCGAAGGCAGCCCCCUGGGACGUCACUGACGCUCAUGCACGAAAGCGUGGGGAGCAAACAGGAUUAGAUACCCUGGUAGUCCACGCCCUAAACGAUGUCAACUAGUUGUUGGGGAUUCAUUUCUUCAGUAAUGUAGCUAACGCGUGAAGUUGACCGCCUGGGGAGUACGGUCGCAAGAUUAAAACUCAAAGGAAUUGAC
rnacentral:rRNA from 1 species